GAUCCGGAGUGGAACUUCCCGGGUCAGAUGCUGCUUCUGGCUGCCCGCUUAUGUGAUCUGGGAGCCCGGGCUGACCAGCUGCUGAUGCCCAGCAGGGUCUGUGCAGGGAGAGAGAGAAGGGGGAGUUGCGGUCAGAUUCACUUGUUUUUCCAUAAAAAGAGUGUUUAACAAUUCCUGAACAAUUCUGAUGCUUUCGGCUCUAGGCCGAAGCGUUUAAAGUCAGAUCCAUUCCUCUCUGUCUGUUAAAGGCUCCAGAAUAAACAGCCACAUUUCUCUCCAGAUCAUCCCGUCCUCCCAGGGGACAGGGAAGGAGAAUGGCUGCAGAGCAGGUGACCUUUCAGGAGAUGGCUGUGUAUUUUACUGAACAUCCGUGAGCUCUCCAAGACCUGGCUUAGCAACACCUGUACAGGAACGCCACGCAGGCGAAUUGUUAUACCAUGACCUCACUGGGUAUGGAUUCCUGUCACCUUGAGUAUUGGAAGUUGGGAGAGACAUUUAGCUUCUGCUUGGGCAUCUUCACUGGUCCCCCAUAUUUCAGAGUUCCCUCCCCUGGAGAGAUAUCCUCUCACAGUGAGGCUACCACAUCAUCAUCUGGAAGGAAGGUCCCAACUAUAGGAUCAUUUCCCUCUACUCCAGUUGGAUGUUCUCCUUCCCUGAGACUUUCAUCCUCCUCAACAGCACAGAGGAGCAAGAGUUGUGGCAGCAGCAACAGCAUCUCCUCCAGCAGCAACAGCAGCUUCAGCAGUGGUGGAAGAAAUAGAUCAAGGAUGAGGAAGAAGAGCACCCAGCAACUGCUUUUACAGGAGCUGUUUCUGGAGCAGCUCCUCACUAUACAACUCCAUUUCUGGACUUGGGUAACCAUCAUCAAUUGGUGGAAACGGGUCAUCCCAGGUCUGCAGAAUGAUCAGUAGUGGUGAGAGAAUGUCAGGAUGGCAAAGACACCAUUUUCAAGAUCUGUACUGAACUAGCCCUAGAGCUGCAGUGUACUGACAUGUAGUUCCCUGUCCCUCGGGAGAAGUCGAUCACCAUUGCCACCUGGAAGUUGGCCACCCUUGAAUAUUACCGGUCCAUGGCCAACCAGUUCAGCAUAGAGAGAUUGACUGUUGGGACCAUUGUCAUGCAGCUGCAUGAUGCCAUGCUUUGAGCAGGGAGUUGGACUAGAUGACCUCCUGAGUCCCUUCCAACCCUGAUAUUCUAUGAUUUUAUGAUUCUAGUGUUGCAUGGCAUUAUAAAGCUUGGUAAUGCUCAGGAGACUAUUGGAAGCUUUGUAUGCAUGGGGUUCCCAAACUGUAUUGGGGCAAUUGAUGGAACCCAUGUGAAUAUUACUUGCCACACCACCACCAGGCUCAGAAAGGGGUAUCACUCCAUGGUGCUCCAAGGGCUGGUUGGUAAUAGUGGCAGGUUUACAAA